GUAGGUGGCAAGCGUUGUCCGGAAUUAUUGGGCGUAGAGCGCGCGCAGGUGGGUUCUUUAAGUCUGAUGUGAAAGCCCCCGGGCUCAACCGGGGAGGGUCAUUGGAAACUGGGGAACUUGAGUGCAGGAGAGGAAAGUGGAGUUCCACGUGUAGCGGUGAAAUGCGUAGAUAUGUGGAGGAACACCAGUGGCGAAGGCGACUUUCUGGCCUGUAACUGACACUGAGGCGCGAAAGCGCGGGGAGCAAACAGGAUUAGAUACCCUGGUAGUCCACGCCGUAAACGAUGAGUGCUAAGUGUUGGGGGGUUUCCGCCCCUCAGUGCUGCAGCUAACGCAUUAAGCACUCCGCCUGGGGAGUACGGUCGCAAGACUG
rnacentral:rRNA from 1 species